CUCGGAUCAGGUAGGGAUACCCGCUGAACUUAAGCAUAUCAAUAAGCGGAGGAAAAGAAACCAACCGGGAUUGCCUCAGUAACGGCGAGUGAAGCGGCAAGAGCUCAAAUUUGAAAGCUGGCUCCUUCGGGGUCCGCAUUGUAAUUUGCAGAGGAUGCUUCGGGUGCGGCCCCUGUCUAAGUGCCCUGGAACGGGCCGUCAGAGAGGGUGAGAAUCCCGUCUGGGAUGGGGUGUCCGCGCCCGUGUG
rnacentral:rRNA from 2 species